AGCUACCGUCAAAGUUUAUAUUGAUACACCUCGAAGGAAGGAGCCCCCAAGAAAUGAAAAUAAUCCUCUGAAUCUUUGCAGGAGCAGCAUAGAGGCCCUAAGAAUUGGAGGCAUCAAAAAGUGGACCAGUAGCAUCAAAGCAGCUAUACUCAUGGCUAAGAAAAAGGCUCUGUCCAACAUAUGAUGAGCGGGAACAACCUCAGCCUCAAAGACCAAGCUAUUUUUGGAGAAUCAGAUCUGGUAGGCGACGUAUGCCUUCCUAUCCACCAUGCAAGUAUAGGUAGACCUCUCAACAGUACUCUGAUGGAUCGUAUCUAGAAAAUGGUCUAGCCAAGGACUACUACUCGCCUCUAUGACUGACCGCCCAUCUUCCUCCAUAUCAUCCUCGCUCUUGGACAUCACAGGAGGGUAUGCUCUAUAGACUUAUCCUCCAAC
rnacentral:lncRNA from 1 species